UACGUAGGGGGCAAGCGUUGUCCGGAAUUAUUGGGCGUAAAGAGCGUGUAGGCGGUCCGGUAAGUCGGCUGUGAAAGUCCAGGGCUCAACCCUGGGAUGCCGGUCGAUACUGCCGGACUAGAGUUCGGAAGAGGCGAGUGGAAUUCCGUGGUGUAGCGGUGAAAUGCGCAGAUAUCGGGAGGAACACCUAUGGCGAAGGCAGCUCGCUGGGACGUUACUGACGCUGAGACGCGAAAGCGUGGGGGAGCAAACAGG
rnacentral:rRNA from 1 species